rnacentral:snRNA from 1 species
AUGCUCGCUUCGGCAGCACACAUAUUGGAACGAUACAAAGAAGAUUAACGUGGCCCCUGCACAAAGGGCAACAUGCAAAUAAAAAAAAAAAGAUUUGCAUGUUGUU